UUAAAACUGGCUUCAUGGCAAGUUUGUAGUUAAAAGAAUUAUCCUAAAAAUAAAAUAAAAAUUAUAGGUGACAUUUAUCAAGUGCUUACUAUGUACCAAUCAUUGUUGUAAAUAUUUUACAUGUAAAACUGUUUAUGCAUGCUGAAGUUAAGAAAAUUUUGUGUGGUUUAACAGCUCAAUUCAAAAUCUAAUAAGUUCCUACUACGUGAGAGGCUGAAGCAUGACAAAGAUGAACCAACUACAAAAAAGUCACAAAUUCUGAAAUAUCUGUUAAAGCGAGGUGGAUGAUCAUGUUCCCUUUUCUGCAAUUCUGAAAUCCAAAACACGCUGAAAAUCAUAAAUUCUUUUGAUAACUCAUUUGGCAACAAAAAUUUGACCUGACCUGGUUAUUGAUAAACUUGACUUUUUAGUGUGAAUAUUCAUACAUCUUGCUGCAUAUAUGUUAAUGCUUGAUUAUACUGUUCUACCCCACACUCCAUCAAGGUAUAUGUAAUAUAUUAGAGAUUUCAGAUCUCAGAUUCUUAUUCAUACUUUACUUGUGAAUAAAUACACACAUGUAUUUAGUAGUUGCUUCUGCUUUAAAAGCACUGCUAAAGAUGGCGCAUGAAAAAUAGAUAAUGUAACAAUCGUGACAAUGAGUUCUCAUUCUCAUUCUUUUUAUUCAUUAUUUAAAAUCAAAUAACAUACUUCAAAAACUUUAUGCCAUAUCUUUCUUCCAUUGGCUGUCAUUCUGAAAAAAUUGCAAGAGAAAUUGUAGCAAAACAUGUUUGUUCCUCCAUGGAAUAUAUAAACUAAAACUAAGUAUACGGAUCCCACAUUAAAUAGGAUUAACUCAGCAUAAUAAUCAUCAAUUAAUAGCCACUGAAUGUCACAUAGAUAAUGUUUUAGGUACUAUUAAAAAAAUGAUGAAAAAUUUACCCAGAGACAUACCAACAAGGAACACCAGUUUUUUAAUAUCUUUAAAUUUUUUCUUUUAUAUUUAUUCUAUAUCAUAAUGAUGUGAAUUAGAUUGUAUAGUAAUUGAUUAGAUUGUCAUAGCUCAUCACUC
rnacentral:lncRNA from 1 species